AUGGGAUUCUCAUCAAUACGAACGUGGGUAACCCAAUCGUGCCCGUUGGUGUGUCUCCUCGAUCCAAGGCGAGUCCCAAACGGUCAUGGGGAGGGCUCUUGGUAUUCAACCUCUUAUAAAGAGACCAAGGCCUUACUCCUUUCUUUUGAUCUCAAUCGAAUUCGCCCUUCGCCUCGAGUUCCAACACCCAAGGCCCCAGAUUUCAGGCGCUUCGGACCUUUGAUGAUGUCCGGCUCCGACCUUCGAGGCCGAUGGACGCCUUCCUCCGUCACGGAGGAAGACGUGCUAAAGCUGAGAGAGGCUAGGUUUUUGACCGGCGAAAUCUCGCAUAGGCUGCCUGCUCACGGGCAGGUUAUUCCUACUCCCAAGCCUGGUGAGAGUGUGGUGUUCGUGUCUCACUUCCUCCGAGGGCUAGGCUUCGCGACGGAUCCCUUCGUGAGGGGGCUCAUGUUUUAUUAUGGGCUGGAAUUUCACGACUUAGCUCUGGAGUCCAUCCUCCACAUCUCAUCGUUCAUUGUCGUGUGCGAAGCCUUCCUCCGUAUUACUCCUCACUUCGGACUGUGGCUUAAGACCUUUAAAGUAGAGCCGAAGAUGAUCGAGGGACGGCAAGCGGAGUGCGGAGGUGCUGUUAUAAGCAAGAAUGCUGACGCUCCAUGGCCCGAGGGCUCUCUUCAAUAG
rnacentral:rRNA from 1 species